rnacentral:rRNA from 1 species
GGUUAAGCGACUAAGCGUACACGGUGGAUGCCCUGGCAGUCAGAGGCGAUGAAGGACGUGCUAAUCUGCGAUAAGCGUCGGUAAGGUGAUAUGAACCGUUAUAACCGGCGAUUUCCGAAUGGGGAAACCCAGUGUGUUUCGACACACUAUCAUUAACUGAAUCCAUAGGUUAAUGAGGCGAACCGGGGGAACUGAAACAUCUAAGUACCCCGAGGAAAAGAAAUCAACCGAGAUUCCCCCAGUAGCGGCGAGCGAACGGGGAGCAGCCCAGAGCCUGAAUCAGUGUGUGUGUUAGUGGAAGCGUCUGGAAAGGCGCGCGAUACAGGGUGACAGCCCCGUACACAAAAAUACACAUACUGUGAGCUCGAUGAGUAGGGCGGGACA